CCUACGGGAGGCAGCAGUGGGGAAUAUUGGGCAAUGGAGGAAACUCUGACCCAGCGACGCCGCGUGCGGGAUGAAGGCCUUCGGGUUGUAAACCGCUUUCAGUAGGGAAGAAGCGAAAGUGACGGUACCUACAAAAGAAGCACCGGCUAACUAUGUGCCAGCAGCCGCGGUAAUACAUAGGGUGCAAGCGUUGUCCGGAAUUAUUGGGCGUAAAGAGCUCGUAGGUCGUUUGUUACGUCGGAUGUGAAAACCUGAGGCUCAACCUCAGGCCUGCAUUCGAUACGGGCAAACUAGAGUUUGGUAGGGGAGACUGGAAUUCCUGGUGUAGCGGUGGAAUGCGCAGAUAUCAGGAGGAACACCAAUGGCGAAGGCAGGUCUCUGGGCCAAUACUGACACUGAGGAGCGAAAGUCUGGGGAGCGAACAGGAUUAGAUACCCUGGUAAGUCCAGACCGUAAACGGUGGGCACUAGUUGUGGGAACCUUCCACGGUUUCUGCGACGCAGCUAACGCAUUAAGUGCCCCGCCUGGGGAGUACGAUCGCAAGAUUAAAACUCAAAGGAAUUGACGG
rnacentral:rRNA from 1 species